GACGAACGCUGGCGGCGUGCUUAACACAUGCAAGUCGAACGGAAAGGCCCUGCUUUUGUGGGGUGCUCGAGUGGCGAACGGGUGAGUAACACGUGAGUAACCUGCCCUUGACUUUGGGAUAACUUCAGGAAACUGGGGUUAAUACCGGAUAGGAGCUCCUGCUGCAUGGUGGGGGUUGGAAAGUUUCGGCGGUUGGGGAUGGACUCGCGGCUUAUCAGCUUGUUGGUGGGGUAGUGGCUUACCAAGGCUUUGACGGGUAGCCGGCCUGAGAGGGUGACCGGCCACAUUGGGACUGCGAUACGGCCCAGACUCCUACGGGAGGCAGCAGUGGGGAAUAUUGCACAAUGGGCGGAAGCCUGAUGCAGCAACGCCGCGUGCGGGAUGACGGCCUUCGGGUUGUAAACCGCUUUCGCCUGUGACGAAGCGUGAGUGACGGUAAUGGGUAAAGAAGCACCGGCUAACUACGUG
rnacentral:rRNA from 1 species